rnacentral:miRNA from 1 species
AAAUAUAUUAGGUGUUUUUUGAUGUAUAUGCUCGUGCACCGCUGCCCUCUCGAUCAAAAAGAAGGUAGCGGUGCACGAGCAUAUACAUCAACUAAUGC